AAGUCAGAUUCAUUUAAAGCCAAGCGUGUCGGUGUCGUUCGUCGUACGAGUGCGAAUCAUUUUUUUUUUUACUGUUAACUCGUAUGUUUGUCAGUUCGGAACCAAAGAAUUUCUAUUUAUAUUUAUACCAACCAAUUAUGAUGGCGUUUCAAGUCUUUAAUGCGCUGCAAUUGCCGAGUAAUAUAUAUUGGCUUAUUGGCGUCGAAAAUACUUGUUUAUAUCUUAAAAUACGAUAAUGAAAUUCAUUUCGUUCUACUCGUAAUCCAUGCAACAAAGGAACACCUCUGUGAGUGGCAGCUUUGACCGAAGACGUCGCGGAGUUCGGAGCGAAGAGCGUGACUUAAAGUGAGAAAAAAAAAAAAAAAACGCAACACCAAAAAUAAAACAAAAACAACAACAACAAAAACAAUGUGUGUGUAUAUCAAUUUAAAUAAAAAAGAAUUAAUUAAA